AAAGCUGAGUGAAAAAAAACCUAAGCUACUCAUUUUACACUUCACGUUUAAGGUGCAACAACUCGCCUCCUUCUCCAUGUUUUGCUUCCUACAUGAGAGUAGCAGCAAGUCCAGGAAACUACUUUUUGGACUCGGACUGGCCCGGUGACCGAGGUUUGGGGCGUCGACUAACUUCACUCAGGCCAAUCGGAGUUCACGAUGAAACUUUGUAAACAACUCUCACGCUGUUUUAAAGCUCUUUAACCCUUUUUACAACGCAAAUGCGCGACGGUGCAGCACCCAAUUGACCCCAACGUUGCAAAACAGACCUCCAUCCAGAUGUGGAAAUCUAACUGCACUCAGAAAUGUAUUUAUGAAGACAAGAUUAAUGAUGCAGAAAGAUGCAGCACCAGAGAGCCUGUUUUGGCCCUACAUGGGACCUCAUGUUUGGGGUAAACCCUUUCUUGGCACACCUGGGUGACAUCAUAAACAGGGCGUAAAUGACCAGCGAAACUCUAAGCCCACCUGUUACCAACCCAAGCUUUUAAUGAAUGGCAUCAGUGGGAUUUGCUCAGGACUAGCCUCAGGAGGUGAUCUCAGAUGAAUGUCUACUGUGUAGCAAUUCACCCAAAUCAUGAUUGGAUUCGGAUUUUCUCACAAUUCUUCCAAUAAAAUGAUGAUUGAAGAAAGAAACAUUUUGAAUUUAGAAAAUGACUUUGACCAUCAAAUCAAACAUAAUUGUUUUAAUCUCUUAAGUUUUGUAUACAGUAGCCUAUGCAAACAAUGCGUAACACAUAUUCAUUUGUGAAAGGGAAACCGAAGAUAUUGA